CAGAUACGCUUCUGGAGAGAUGAGCGUGGUGCGACCACACAGGGUUGCUGGGAUGGAGGAGCUGGCGCCAGCCUCUUCCUGCAGGGCAGGAACGCCGAGGGGACGAGAGCACCCUGGGCCGGGGGAUUAGACAGGGUCCCGGGAAACCAGUGUGUGCCCGCAGCACGCAGUGGCUUUUCCUAAUCCAUUUACUAUUUUCCUUUGCUGUUCUUCCUUCUCCCUCAGCCAGAUCUACUGCAUAGAGAAUGCCCACGGACAGCUGGUGCGGGACCUUGACUUUAAUCCCAAUAAGCAGUACUACUUGGCCAGCUGUGGAGACGACUGUAAGGUGAAGUUCUGGGACACCCGAAAUGUCACCGAACCCGUGAAGACCCUGGAGGAGCACUCCCACUGGGUGUGGAACGUCCGCUACAACCACUCUCAUGACCAGCUGGUCCUCACGGGCAGCAGUGACAGCAGAGUCAUCCUUUCCAACAUGGUGUCCAUCUCGUCGGAGCCCUUCGGCCACUUGGUAGACGACGAUGACAUCAGUGACCAGGAGGACCACCGUUCUGAAGAGAAGAGCAAGGAGCCCCUGCAGGACAACGUGAUCGCCACCUACGAGGAGCACGAGGACAGCGUCUAUGCCGUGGACUGGUCCUCGGCCGACCCGUGGCUGUUUGCCUCCCUGAGCUAUGACGGGAGGCUCGUGAUCAACAGGGUGCCCAGGGCCCUGAAGUACCACAUCCUGCUGUGACUCCCGGGC
rnacentral:sRNA from 1 species